rfam:Leptolyngbya sp. PCC 7376, complete genome.
UCUGGUGUGAGGAAUCACCGGAAAGCGCUUAGGGUCGAAACAAGGACAGACACCUAGGCGUUUUUCUUU